rnacentral:rRNA from 1 species
AUUGAACGCUGGCGGCAGGCCUAACACAUGCAAGUCGAACGAGUGGCGGACGGGUGAGUAAUGUCUGGGAAACUGCCUGAUGGAGGGGGAUAACUACUGGAAACGGUAGCUAAUACCGCAUACCAUCAGAUGUGCCCAGAUGGGAUUAGCUUGUUGGUGGGGUAACGGCUCACCAAGGCGACGAUCCCUAGCUGGUCUGAGAGGAUGACCGGCCACAAGGGAACCGAGACAGGUGCCAGAUUCCUACGGGAGGCAGCAGUGGGGAAUAUUGGACAAGUGGCGCAAGCCUGAUGCAGCCAUGCCGAGUGUAUGAAGAAGGCCUUCGGGUUGUAAAGUACUUUCAGCGGGUAGGCGUUACCCGCAGAAGAAGCACCGGCUAACGCCGUGCCAGCAGCCGCGGUAAUUC